GCGGCUACUGCUAUCAGGUUUCGACUAAGCCGUGCGAGUCAAGGGGUCGUAAGACACCGGCGUACUGCUCAGUAACACGCGGACAAUCUACCCCCAGGUGGAGGAUAACCUCGGGAAACUGAGGCUAAUACCCCAUAGUUGUCAUGUGCUGGAAUGCUUUGACGAUGAAAGAAUUUCGCCUGAGGAUGAGUCUGCGGCCUAUCAGGUAGUAUGUGGUGUAAAGGACCACAUAGCCUAAGACGGGUACGGGCCUUGAAAGAGGGAGCCCGGAGAUGGACUCUGAGACACUAGUCCAGGCCCUACGGGGCGCAGCAGGCGCGAAAACUGUGCAAUGCGCGCAAGCGCGACACGGGAAGCCUGAGUGCCUUAACUAUGUUAAGGCUUUUCUUGAUCCUAAAAAGCUCAAGGAAUAAGAGCUGGGUAAGACGGGUGCCAGCCGCCGCGGUAACACCCGCGGCUCGAGUGGUAGUCACUUUUAUUGAGCCUAAAGCGUUUGUAGCCGGAUUUGUAAAUCUCUAGGAAAAUACUUCUGCUUAACUGAAGAAAUUUUGGAGAGACUGCAAAUCUAGGGACCGGGUGAGGUUGAAUGUACUUCUGGGGUAGGGGUAAAAUCCUGUAAUCCUGGAAGGACGACCGGUGGCGAAGGCGUUCAACUAGAACGGAUCCGACGGUGAGGAACGAAGGCUAGGGGAGCAAACCGGAUUAGAUACCCGGGUAGUCCUAGCUGUAAACACUGCCCACUUGGUGUUGCAUCUCCGGUAAGGGGGUGCAGUGCCGUAGCGAAGGUGUUAAGUGGGCCGCUUGGGGAGUAUGGUCGCAAGGCUGAAACUUAA
rnacentral:rRNA from 1 species